AUGGGGAGCUGUGUGCUGAGAACAGCAGGGGGCGCUGGGGGACUGCCCCGUGAACCAUACACACCUGCUCAGGAAGGACCAGUCACUCCAAGGAGCCUGGGCCUCAGGGAUGGGCCUGUGCUCACUGAUGGGAACUCAGAAGCUGUGUCCUCUCUGGCCUGGCACAGUCCCCUGACCAGGGACCUUUCUCCUGUCCUCCUUGUGCUCCUGUCUCACUACUCAGGUUCCCUCUCCCAGCCUGGGCUGACUCAGCCGCCCUCCCUCUCUGCCUCUCCUGGAGCAUCAGCCAGACUUACCUGCACCCUGAGCAGUGGCUUCAGUGUUGGGAACUUCUGGAUACGCUGGUAUCAGCAGAAUCCAGGGAGUCCUUUAUGGUAUCUCCUGAGUUCCAAGUCAGACUCAGAUAAGCACCAGGGCUACGGAGUCCCCAACCGCUUCUCUGGAUCCAAAGAUGUGUCGGCCAAUGCAGGGAUCCUGCACAUCUCUGGGCUGCAGGCCGAGGACGAGGCUGACUAUUACUGUGGUACAUAUCAUGGCAAUUCUGACAGUUACACAGUGCUUCAGCCACACGAAGAAAGAGCUGAGGAGGAGAUCAAAGAACCAUCCCAGAGUCCAGAAACAGUGUGGGUCUGGAGGAUUGUUGGAAAGUCCACACCAUGGCCUGGACUCUUCCUCCUCACUCUUUGCCCAGGCUGUGAUGACUGA